rnacentral:piRNA from 1 species
UUUUUUUUUCGAAUAAAUCGA